UCGUAACAAGAGGACGUCCUUGGUUGUCGCUGACCGCUAGGUCGUGCACGCCUCGAGCGUUUCUCACUUACACAUCCAUCUCACCCCUUUGUGCAUCACCGCGUGGGCCCCCCCUUUGAUUCAAAGAAAGGUGGCUUGCGUUUUCACACAAACGUCGUAGUAGUCGAAUGUCUUACUUUUGCGGUCGCACGCAAUCAAUA
rnacentral:misc_RNA from 1 species